AGGAGCCCAUAAAGUGUAACUGGAAGAAAAGAACACCAGCCCUGACAUUCACCUUUUGUGGGUGACCCCAGGCCAGCUGCUCAACCCCUCUGUGGUCUCUUCCUCCACCUAUGGAAUAGGGACAAUAACUGUCUUAUUUUUCUCACUGGAAUGUCGUUGAGGAACAAAGAGACAGACCUAUGUAGGUGGGCAUACUUUAUGCAAAUGGAAUCACUUACAGCAUCCCAGUGAGGCUUCACCCUGAAAACCCUGCCUACUUUGUUCAGAUGAGAACAGUCCCCCAGGGGAGAUGUCGUGGCUGGGAAUGAAGACAACAGAGCUCAGUGUGGACUCACAGCUUCUCAGACCUCUGCAGGUGCACAAGUCCCCUCUCCAACAGAAUGUCACUUGUCCCAGCUGGAACAUUUCUCCCUGGGGGCCGCUCUAUCAAGAGUGCUCAUUGCCCAUCAGCACACUGGGAAGAAUGAUGAUGGAGGGGUGUUAAGGGGGGGAAAGGAGAUCCUGUUGUUCGGGGCAGGAGAGAACACAGGCUUUCAUGCUGUUGAGCAUUGGGAGAAGUGAGCUAAUACAUUUUCAGAUCAUCAGAAAGGAUUACUAAUCAUAAAGAAACCCUAGAGUUUGCCAAGGGUCCUUAACAUUUUCAUGUUGCCCAUCAUCAGAAUGGAGGGUCUGAGAGGGCAGCCACGGCUGGGAUGUGGAGAGAAGGGGACACCGGUCUCCAGCAGUCAGGAGGGCAGAGGCCUUCACACCAGAGGAUGACGUCUAGAGGACUAGGGACUUGGAGCCAAUUUCUAUGGUGUCUUCAUGUUUUUCCAUCCAUUCUCCAAG
rnacentral:lncRNA from 10 species